GACGAACCGAGCGAACGUUAUUCGGAAUCACUGGGCUUAAAGGGCGCGUAGGCGGGCCGUCAAGUCAGGGGUGAAAGCCCCCAGCUCAACUGGGGAAGUGCCUCUGAUACUGGCGGCCUCGAGCGAGGUAGGGGCGUGCGGAACUUCCGGUGGAGCGGUGAAAUGCGUAGAUAUCGGAAGGAACACCGGUGGCGAAAGCGGCGCGCUGGACAUCUUCUGACGCUGAGGCGCGAAAGCCAGGGGAGCGAACGGG
rnacentral:rRNA from 1 species